UAACCACAUGGUUCUGAUAUCAAAGAUUUUAUCGCUUGAAGAUGGACUCGCGUCCGAUUAGUUAGUUGGUGAGGUAACGGCUCACCAAGACCGCGAUCGGUAGCCGGACUGAGAGGUUGAACGGCCACAUUGGGACUGAGACACGGCCCAGACUCCUACGAGAGGCAGCAGUGGGGGAUAUUGCGCAAUGGGGGCAACCCUGACGCAGCAACGCCGCGUGAAGGAUGAAGGUUUUCGGAUUGUAAACUUCUUUUAUUAAGGACGAAAAAUGACGGUACUUAAUGAAUAAGCUCCGGCUAACUACGUGCCAGCAGCCGCGGUAAUACGUAGGGAGCAAGCGUUGUCCGGAUUUACUGGGUGUAAAGGGUGCGUAGGCGGCUUUGCAAGUCAGAUGUGAAAUCUAUGGGCUCAACCCAUAAACUGCAUUUGAAACUGUAGAGCUUGAGUGAAGUAGAGGCAGGCGGAAUUCCCCGUGUAGCGGUGAAAUGCGUAGAGAUGGGGAGGAACACCAGUGGCGAAGGCGGCCUGCUGGGCUUUAACUGACGCUGAGGCACGAAAGCGUGGGUAGCAAACAGGAUUAGAUACCCUGGUAGUCCACGCUGUAAACGAUGAUUACUAGGUGUGGGGGGUCUGACCCCCUUCCGUGCCGGAGUUAACACGAU
rnacentral:rRNA from 1 species